GGAAGCGAGAGAAGCAACGUCGGGACGGGCCGCCAGUGUAGUGUGGGCAGUCGGAGCGAUAGAACGGAGCGCCACAAGUAGCGAGCAUCAUGCGUGUGCCAGUCGUGACCACCAGUCCCCCGAGCCCCUUGCCGCUCCCCCAAGUCCCCGCCCGCAGCCCAGCCCCCGUCAGCCCCGCCCCUGCCCCAGACAUGUGACUCUCUGGCGCCGUAAGUCACCUGUUCGUCCGCCUCACUCACGUGUGCGAAGUUUCCAUAGAGCGCGUGGCUCGCCCCAGGUGAGCCCAGGGGAUCCCCCGGGCUCGGCCGGCUGCCCAGGUCACCGCCGAGCCGUGCGAGGAGCCGCAGGUCACUUGCCUCACCUUGCUGGCAGCUAGGUCACCGGAGAGCCACUCUCCCUGCCCCCGAGAGCCACCGCGAGCCACAUACCGCCCCGGGAGCCAGGUCUCUCCAGACAGCGCUGGCAGCCCGGCCGCGCCGGGACGUGCCGCCCGUCAGGUCAACAGCAGCAGCAGGCGCCGCGAGGUGUCAGGGGGUCAGCGCGUCGCCGUGCAGGGCGCCACAGGCCAGUGGUCACAGCCUCGCCCGGCGCCUGACCUCUCCUGGACCAGCCAGCCGGCAGCCUUGACCCUCGAGGCCCCGCCGCCACAGCUCAUUAAGGCGGCGCUCCAUGCUGCCUCAGCCCCGCGGCAGCCACCCCGCCGCCGGGAGGCGCUGAGCAGGAGGGGAGCAGUAGGCGAGCAGGGCCGCCAGCAAGGCAAGGCAGCAGCUGCAGCGUGUGUGGCAGUGUUGGUGUUGGUGUUGGAGGUGUUCUUGGUGGUGGUGGUGGUGGUGGUGGUCUAGGGUUACAGGCAGCAGCGGCACACCUCCAGUCGCCCCCACAACUGUGUCCCAGCACGUGGGUCCCCCCCCCGCCCUUCCCCGUCCCGUGCCGCCUACCCCCCCCUACCCCUUACCCGGACCCCUGCGGUGGCAGUGCAGAUAGUGAAGUGCCAACUCGUGGCGUGUGGCUGCGGGGCGGAGUGAGCCGCGGAGAGGUGUGGCGCGGCGGGUGGCUGGCCCCCGGAGGCCCCCACGUGAGCACCCGCCGAAGGGGCCGUACCGCCACCUGUGAACCCCGGCACGACACAAACAGUGCGUGUGUGUGUGUGUGUGCGUGCGUGAGAGAGAGAGAGAGGCCGCGGCGUCCGUCAACACCGCCGCCGCCGACCAAACCAGUCGCAGCCAAGGUCUGCCUCCCGUCUGCCUAACAUUUGUGUAGCGGCGCGUGCGACAAGACCUUACAGUUAUCCCGCGAUCUGCCGCCCAGCGUGACCCCGAGGCGGCCCGCACACGCCCUUCACGCUCGCCCCCCCUAUGGCCGCCGCCGAGGAGCGAGAUAAGAGGCGGCGAGAAAAAUAACGACUCGGCGGGAGGAGGAAAAGUGAUUAAGGACUCGGGAUCCUUAUUAAUCAGUGAUCUUGACCAUCCCAACCAUGAGGUGGAGUAGGCGUGGCGGAGGAGGAGGAGGAGGAGGGGAAGAAGGAGGAGGAGGAGUAGGAGGAGGAGUAACAACAACAACAACAGCAACAACAACAAGAGCAACAGCAACAGAAAGAAGAGGAAGAGUAAGAAGCAGAUCCUGGUGGUGGUGGCGACCCGCGGCCCUACUGGUGGCGGUCCUGGUGGUGAUGGAGUUAUUGGUGGUGGUGGAGUCGACGCCCCUCCCCAAGCCCAAGGGGAGGGGGGCUGCCCGGGGGGAAGAUGAGGCCGCCGGGGGGAGAGGAAAAAGUCUUCGCCUCAACGCCAAACACGAAUGGAGAAAAAGACACAGGAAAUCAUCAGAGUGUCGGCUGGGCAAGAACAGAUACGCGCUGGGGGAGGAGUGGAGUCCCAACCUCGGUCCGCCCUUUGGUGUGUGGAGUUGCGUGCAGUGUGUGUGUGCGAAGGUACAGAGGAAGCGGCGUGUGGUAGGCAAGGUCCGCUGUCGUAAUGUGAAGUCGGAGUGCCCCAAGGUGACCUGUCUCGAGCCCGUCCUGCUGCCCGGCCAGUGUUGCAAGAUGUGUGUCACCUCCCCCGAGCUGCAUCAUCCCCCACCGCACCCCAACUCCUCCUCCUUCGGCAUGGGUUUGCUAAGGCCGGCAGGUGAUACGCCGAGGGUGGAAGAGGAGCUGACAGGUCGAGACUUCGCCGUGCUCCUCAACGGGCGGACAUCCAUGACGCCGAUGACGACAACAAGAGUGGCCACGGGGCGCCUCUUCCUCCGACGACGAACCCUGCACUUCUCAUUCUUGCUGGAGAACGGCGCGCCAACCCCAUCUUCCGUGCAGUUCCUCAGCGAGUCGGGCGAGAUUCUUGAGCAGCUUGAGCCUCAGCCAACCCCUUACGAGGCGACGAACAGUAGAGUGUGUGGGACGUGGACUCGGCUUCCCAGAGAAUAUAGGGAACUCUUACUGGAGGAGAAAUUGUGGGUAGCCCUGAACCCCCCAGAGGACAGCGACGAGGACGUAAUCAGCGGGCAGGUGUCUCGUUACGUUGGGGUGGACACAGAGGUCUUCUCUUCGCUACUCACCCCUGUCGCUGUCCCACCGGACGCCCCCACCGCCCCCCCGCACUUCCUGAGCGGGGGCGGCACGGCCAUCAUCUCCGUGGACCGCAAGACAGACUCGCUGCACGUGAGUCUGGUCUUCAACGGCGUGUUUGGCAGCGGCGAGACGCACAACGUGAGCCUCGUCGUGGAGCUGGUGCCGGAACGCGCCCUCGAGCCCGUCAGCGAAAUCUUAGUCCUCCCCAAAGUGUACUCCGACGUGAACCGCGCCGAGCUGCUCACCACGCUGGGGGAGCGGUCCCUGAUCCGCCUCACCCGCGGCCAGGUGGGCCUCAAGGUGUGGAGCGCCGCCGCCCCCGCCCUGGCCCUGCAGGGGAUGAUCACGCCCCGCGCCACUUGCAACGUGUUCUGCGCCGUGCUCAGCGAGCCGCCGCCCGACGCCUCCACCGCCGCGGCCCCGUCGCCGCCGCCGUAUGGUGCCGGGUGGGCGCUGGUGACGCUGUCCAAUGACGGCACCUUCCAGUACCAGGUGUUCCUGCAGGGCGUGGAGGUGGCUUCUCUCAGGCUGGAGACGCGCCACCGCCGCCGCCACCGCGAGGUGAGUGACCUGACGCCCUCCUACCGCGACGGCUGGGCCAACGGCACCUACGAGCGGCCCACGUACCGGGACCUGGACGCGCUGCUGCGGGGCCGCGUGGAGGUGGUGGUGCUGGGGGCCGGCGGGGCGGAGCAGAAGUUGCAGGGCACCCUCGCCCCCGUGGCCGUCACCGAGGCCCUCAGGUCCCCCCAGCCCGUGCUGCUCGCCUCCCCGGAAGUGCCCAUGGCCGCCGCCGUCUGGGUGGCGGUGGACUCGGCGUGCGUCACCCAUUACGACGUGAUGGUGGCGGGGCGGCCGCCGGACGGGGCUCUUGAGCCCCUCUGGAACCUGAUGCUGCGUGAAGAAGACCGCUCCUGGGACCCGCGCUUCACCAUGACCUUGGUGCCCCUGGAGGACGAGGUGCAGGGCUGGGAGCUCUUCGCUCACACGCUGGAGCUGACGCAGCUCUCCCUCUCGCGCCUCGGGGCUGACGUCACCUACUUUGACCUCCACCUGCUGCCCAACACCACCAGCCAGAACCGCACCCUCAGCGGCCGCGUGCAGGGCGUCAGCGUGCCCCCCGACUGCCUCCUGGACGCCCCCCAUCCCGACCUCCCCGUGGGCGGCGACACGUGUUCAGGCCCCAGCUGCCUCGCCGAGAGCCCCGUGCCCGCCACGCCCAUCACGCGCAAGUGUAUCGACGACGACAAGAAUGUGUACGGCAACGGCAAGAGCUGGGUGUCUCCUGUGGACCCGUGCCGCAUGUGCAUGUGUACCCAGGGAACGAUAGAGUGCCACGACAUGAUCUGCCACGACCUGGACUGUGAUGGAGCCUACACUCCCCCGGGGCUGUGCUGCCCAGUGUGCCCAGGCAGCAUCAACCUGUCGGACGACGAGAGUGAGAUGUGUGAGCUCAAUGAACAGAAGCACUACGUGGGCUCCAUGUGGCACCCGUUCCUGGCACCCAACGGCUUCGACAAGUGUGUCUCCUGCAGCUGCAUGCUCGCCUCCAGUGGCCAUGCGUUGGUCAAUUGUUCGAGGGCCCCGUGCCCAGACCUUCCCUGUGGGCCAGAUGAAAUGGAGCAGGUGCCCGGCUCUUGCUGUGCUCAGUGCCGCCCACCCCGCCCAGCUGUGCCCCCGCCCACCGCCCAGCCUGGCAUGGUGAACGAAGGCUCCCUGCAAACUCUUGAGGAGCAGCGGGACACCAUCAUGAGCAACGGUGGAUGCCUGCAGAAUAAUAAGCUGUACGAGAAUGGCGAUGAGUGGCACCCGAGAAUCAACACCAUCGGCCCCUACAAGUGUGUGACCUGCAAGUGUAAGGACGCUGACAUUACCUGCGGCUACAUCAAGUGUCCGACUGUCCAGUGUCAGGAGAUAGUGCGGGACAGACAGGAGUGCUGCCCACACUGUGUCAGCGAAAACAGCACACUACGUCCCUCCCGUGGCAAGAAACGGCGCAGCAAGGCCAAACACCGACGGCUUAACUCAGGUUAGCGGUCAGUGUAGAGAUACUGCCGUGGGAACCUGAAGGGGCCUGGAGAAAGCCUUGAGGGGAGGUGGAGGGAGGGAAGGACACCCCUGAAUGCUAUCUGCUGUGUGAGGUGACUGUAGUGGGAUCUGGAAGAGAGGGAAAACGAGUGAUGCUGCUGUUAAAGAGAGAGAGAGAGAGAGAGAGAGAGAGAGAGGGAGAAGGAGAGUCAGCAAAGGGUGAAUGCUUUAAUGUCUGUGGCAAGGUUGACGGAGAAUGUGUUUGGCAAGUGUGUGUGUAGGACGGGUCACAAGACACAUGAGGCAUUAGGCCGAUGGACCAGUGAGGCGGCGCGAUAGAAAAGUGUACAGAUGAAGUGCCCCUCCAGUGGAACAGAGUGAUAGUUUUAAGGGUGAGUCACUUCGGAGAUGAGACUGACUUUUGGCGGAAAACAUGGAGGGAAAACUGAUGUCAUGCUGUUUGACAUUUUGUGUGAAAGGUUCAAAAGAAGAAUCUAUUCUAUGUAUAGUUUUCUCUCCAUUCAUUCACAUGCGUAAAUGCUUAGUCGUAACUUCAUCAUAAUGGACUGUAUAUUAUAGACAUAUGGUGAACAAUAGACUCUGUGUGACAACAAGGCAGUGAGGUGUUGAAAGACCACAUUUAUUCAAGACUAGCCUGAUAGAAACACAUUCAUGUAUAGAUUUCAACACUCGGAUAUGCCAAGCAGGGUAAGAACCAGAACAAAACAUACCAAAUACGUCUUAUUUCAAAGACUGAAGAUUUGGCAAAGUCCACAUCAAUGUUACACGAUUUAAAUUGUAUAAAAGAAUGUGUGAUAUUGCUUUUUCUAAAAUUCCAUGAAGACUGACAGAAAAAGCCUGAUUGGAAGCUACAUGAAAUAUACGGUAUUGUAAAUGACAGAUGAUAUAAAGUGUCUCGGAAAGCACACAACAAGAAGUGCAUGGAAGUGUGUUUUUUCUCAUCUGUUGGUAACGUCGCUUCACGUCACAAGAGACACUGAAGCUGAAGUAUCACAAGCAGAGGGGAGGCGGAGGGUGUGGGAGCUGGGAAGUGACAUGGUGGACUGAGGUGACGGUGAGGGGAAAGCCGCUGCCCUGUCUUGGUUGGCCAUUCAUCCACGGAAAACAGAAAUACAACUAUGCAAAAUGUGAAACGCAAAGAAAACAUAACCAACAGAGCCUAAUACAAAGUGUGAGUGAAUCUAUCAAAUGUGUUCAAAGCAGAUAAAGGAACAGAAUACAGCUACGAAGAAUCUAAACGGAAACGCUGCAGAAGAAAGUCUAAAGAAACAUAAGGAAGGUUGAUGUUACGGUACAGUGUGAAUUACUUCCAUUGUUCUCCACUAUGUAUAACAGUGACAGGAAGGGAGAGGCGUGAUAACUGUUACGAAUAUCUGUGAGUGAUCGGACAGUGGACAAGAAAGCUAUAGUCAUACUCAUGCAUCGUUUAGCAAGUUGUGUGAGGUGUUUGUUUGGAAGGUGGGAGGUGGUAGAGUUCGGCUGUUUAACGGGAAAGAGAAGACAAGAAAGGAAAGGUCACAUAUGAGUCAAACUCCAUCUUGGGGGUGUAAUUAAUGCAACAGAUGAGGCUGAUGUUGAUGUGAAUUAUGUAAGUUCUUUUAGGUAGCUGUUGCAUGGACUUGAGAAUGGUUUUGGGAGGUUUUUUGCAUGUUUAAUUCUUUCCCUCCACUGCCCAAGCUGUCACGGUGAGAGACACAUGGCAUCAGGGGCCCAGCUGAUGGGAAGCAGCUGGGUCACGCUGUUGCUUGAAUAAGUGUGUGGACCUUCUACAUCCACCAUCUUACUGCAUCACAACAAGAAAUACUUUUCACCAUGUUGAUUUUAACUUGUAAACUCAAUACUGGAAGAGAUUUUUAUGAGACUGAGAGUUGAUUAUUGGAAGGACAGUAUAAUGUUAACUAAGAACGUAAGGAACACUAGAUAGCGCAGCUUUUUGUCAUACUAUACAAGUGGACAGUUAACCAUAUAGGUAGUGACUCUUGAACACUCAAUACUUAAAUGCGUAAGGAAGACUCCAGCAUGGCACAUCAGCAUCUACUAUCUAUGUACCCACAGACCCACUCAGCCUAAGAGUUGAAGGACACAUUGAGUAGCUUAUGAUUUCCUUUGUUUGUAAGCUAAUAGUAAAGAGCAUUGCUGCCACGCCACGCACGGCUUAACAUUAUGCAUAGUUCACCGUUAGUCUGGGUUUUGUCUGGCCGCCAUGAAGGGUUCGGUCUACCCUCCACCCCUCAGCUGUGAGCCUAUUCAUUCUGGUACCAAAGAAGACGGGUGUUUUUUCAAUCAGAGUUUUCGUUUUUUUUUUCCCUUUUUUUUCCAGCCUGCGAGAAAAAAGCAAGGUGGGUGUUAGUUCUGUUAGGUGAGGAGAUUUUGGUGUCCUGUGAGUCAGUGGUUAGAUUCUGCUGCAAGGGAUUCAUUGGUGGGUUUUUCUACGGGGCGAGAGUUUCCAUACCACUUAAGGAAUUGGAUGUUGGUGAGCUGAGAAAUUUGUAUCAUGUAUCUGCUGUGUUUUGUUGUAUUAAGAGAGAAAACUGAAUCUCCUCACGACUCAUUCUGUUUCUAAUCAAUAUUUUUUCUUCGUUCAUGUCAGGCCAUGCAGCGUGUUACCCCUUAUCACAUUGUCUCGUCUGCCAAAUUCAUCUUCGUACUCCUUUCCUCUCCCUUUGUUUAUACUUCAUCAGCGUUCAUUUUCCCGUCAUCUAUAUAUGCAUUGUUUCAUCUGUAUGGUAUUUAUGUCUUAGGUCAAAGCUUUAGUCUUAUUUUUCCACGAUUUGUCUUCUUUUCUGAGGCUUUUCUACUAUGGUACUUUUGUCUCGCUCCUUUCUAAUCCCUUAACACACCUUUUACUCUGAACUCUUACCUGUUUUCACUUCCAUCUCUUUUCUCAUUCAAAACAUUACUCCACUUUUGUCUCACUCCUCUCUGAUCCCUUCACACACCUUUUACUCAGAACUCCUCCCUGUCUUCACUGCCUCUCUUUCCACUUCUGAUUCAAAACAUUACUCUGCUUUCUUUUCUCUCCCACGGUGGGCAAGACUUCUACUUAAUUCUUCUACCAAGCUCAAUGAUAUCUUGUAGAGUAACUUGAAGUCUUAUAUAUAUAUUAGGCCUCUGAUUUUGAAGAGGGUAAACCCAUACUCUCCCAUGGUGCAUUUUUAUAUAUAUCUUAUAUUGAUAUAUUCUAACUGUGGAGGCUACUGCUUCUAUUCAUAGGGUGAAGUAAUACAUAAUAGUUUAGGUUUAUUAGUAUUGUAAAGAUGUGUUGUGAACUAAGUUUCUUUUUUUUUCAUUUAUUUAUCUUUUUUUUAACACCAAUAUCUGCUUCAUGUAUUUUUCGAGGGCCCAGCGCUGCGCCCGGCCACAGGGACGCCUCACUCUGGCGCACUCACGCACUCACUCCCCCCACCAGACGUUCUUACACACGCCUGCCCCAAGCCACCAGAGGAGAGCAUCGGACAUUUAUAUGCAUUAGUAGGCUUAUCUUGAGCCUUCACAAGUCACUAAAUAUGUAAGCAUCAGUAACAGACUUGCUAUAAUAGUAAUGAUUCGCCUUUCCUUGUAGUCCGUUGGAGUGAGGCGUUGCUGCACGUGUUAUUUAUGUGUCUGACACACGGGAGUCACUCAGUAGUACCACUCCCUCUCGCCUUUAGAACCAACAAACAGGAAUUAUGUAUUGUUUAGUAAGUUCCUAAACAGCAUAAAGAAUCAAGACUUAGGGAAUGUAAUGCCAAGUUCUGCAACGUUAUGGAAUCAAACAUACCCUUGAAUGUUUUUAAAUAUAUACCGUUACUUGCUGUAGGUUCUGUGAGAGUAGUGAUAGAGCCCCUUGACCUAUGCAUGUGUGAGCUGCCGAGAGCCACCCCAAUCGUUAGUUCAUAAGAUCCACCUCCUGAAUAGCGACAGUGACCACCGCCAUAACCCCGCACAAGCAGCGAAACACAGCACAGCCACAACACUGUCCCCAAACAAUCAUAAGCCAAGUCCACUCCUGUUGAUCUUUAUUCAAAAUUCUAUUUUUCACGAAGCGUUUUAGUGACAGAGGACAUGUAGUGAAUGAGUCAUAUUUUUCUCUCCAGUUCAGAGGCAUAAAGUUAGUUUUAGAGAUAUCAAGGCUGCUAAUUAUGGGUCGUAUAUAUAGAGAGACUAAAGGUAAUAUAUAUGUGGAUAAGUGUAACAUAGUGGUCUUUGUUAUGCCUGCACGAGAUGUCUGUAAAUGAGGUGAUGGUACAGAAACUCCAUAACUUGUUUGAAAAGAAAGAGUUGGUGAGCCGGUCGAGGAUGUAACGUACCAGUGACUGAACCCUGUGAAAAGUGUGGCAGAGAGAGAGAGAGAGAGAGAGAGAGAGAGAGAGAGAGAGAGAGCAUUAGUCUUUGGAGCCCUGCCAGGUGGACUCAGGCUCAUGCUGCUGCCGUUUAUGGUCACACCGAGAAAGUAGGAUGUCCACAUGCGGGAAAAUAAAUAAAUAAAAUGAUAAAUACCAAUAAAGAAAUAUCAUAAUGGCAUAAAACUCAUAUCCAUUGAAGUCAUACAAACAAUGCAUUAUUUAUCAAACUUCUGGUCAGCAAACUCAUCUAGUUUUUUUUAUUGUGUGUGUGUAUGAGUUUCCCCAAUAAGACCUUAAGGGAUAUUCACUAUGGUCUGUCCUAGGAAUUCAAACCACACACACACACAUACAUAGGUUGGUAUCAUAAGACACUUUUGCUUCCCACAUCAGCUAUUUCUAAAGGUCAAAGAAGGGGCCACUCAGAUUCUAAUGAGUGUUUCUUGAGGUUCACGGUACAGAAGAAGAGUCACACUACCACCAGGGUCACAAAACUACUCCUGGAAAUGCCCACAACUCCUACGAAAGCCUUGUCAAAUAUGUGUUCUUGGGCGGCAAAAUGUCUUAUAAUGCAACCCAUAUACACACUAUUUGUUUGUAUGGAGCAAAGCAAGUGUUGAAGUUUGGGAAGUCUUGGUCACAUUGAGGCAGAUGAUCUUUUAAUGUGUACUCAGCUCUGAGGAAGAAAACUAAACCGGCUAAUCAUGUUUCUGGUGCAAUGUUAUGUAAGACAAGUAUGUAUUUACACUUAUCCAUAUACAGUCUAGUAGCAACUAUAGCCAUGUUUAUGUAUCCCACCCUGUAUAAGGUCAGCAGAGUACUCCUUAGCAUGUAGCCACAGCAAACCCACGCUGGUAUUCUUGUGGGAGUGUUAAGGCCAUGAGCUGGUGACUGAUUUACUGCAACAUUUAUCAGCUUCAAGACAAGAUUCUGAUUUGCCAGACCCAGACAUCAUCACAAAGGCCCAGUAGUAAGUCCUGCACUGCCCAUUUUCUUGCAACGUUGAUGGGAAUUUUGUACUUUCAAUCGACUAUGGACUCGGACCGUCCGCUGAUUUGCCCGUCAAAGUUGUCAUAAUGUGUGCAGCAGUAGACUUAGUAUUUGAGUGUACUGGACGCCACCCGAUAGUGUGGAUCGGCUGUUAAGUCUUUAAUACUUGGUGUGUGAGAGAGAGAGAGAGAGAGAGAGAGAGAGAGAGAGCAAAUAGAAAUAAAAUAUACUCCCAAAUAUUAUCAUCCUCCAAAAAUGAAUUAAGUAUCUAUAGUGUGUGUGUGUGUGUGUGUGUGUGUGUGUGUCCAAGGUGUCCGUGAAGUCCUGGACAGCAACAUAGCUUGACCUCAUACAUUAACACCGGUCAUCACAGCCUCACUCGGCACACUUUUUCCUCCUCCAGAGAAGUAUGCCUUGAGGGGGAUAAGCUUGGUGGGCAUCAUGAGGCAGUGUGUAAGGGCUUGCUAAAGGAUCUUAUGUUGGCAUCUCCAUUUCCCAUGCUGGAGGUGGGGAGGAUGACCACUUGAUUUGUAAAGUGGUGGUCCUCGCAGGGUUUGGGUAGCAUAUGGUAGAGAGAGAGAAAGAGAAGCAAAUACAUGACUUCAGUGGAGCAGUUUAUAUGUUGACAGCCUACGAGUGUUGAGGUUCCUGGCUGGCCGGAGACAUGUGCCAGUCGGGUGUGCUUCCAAAUCAAACGACCGUGUGCCAUAUUGUGUAAUGAGAGGGAGGGAGGCGAGGGAGCUGAGGUGUGCACUGUGUCUGGCAUCAAUAUCGGUGAAACUGUUCUGCAUCCGAGGACUUAACACUUGGAACUUUGACGACAGAAGAAGGAUUGGAAUGAUGUCCAGAAUAAAUUGUUAUAACAUCUCACGGGAAGGCAGGAAAUUUAUGACUGAUGUGGCAUAACGGAAUACUACUUUCAAUGAGUUAUGGUAGAUUAAUAUAAAGAAUUAGACAUGUAGAGUAUUGAGAGCACAUAAUGUUUCGAGCUUAACUGUUACUCUAUUCAUAAAACUAGGUAAAUAAUCCCCUCCUCUUUCCCCUUCGUGUAAAUCAUUGUCCAACCCACAAGCAACCGACGUCCCUUCUCCACCUCAUGCUCCUCGUGGUUACUGAGAACAAGCAGGUCCCAGUGAAGGCAUCUGCAAUCAAAGGAAAAGAAUGCCAAAUGUGUGUUAGUGUUCUGGUGUUGGGGCGGUGUUGCUUGAGGUGUGUAAGUGGUGGUGUUGUAAAUCCUGACGGCAGUGUUGCGUGGGUCCGGUGUUGUGUUGCCUCGGAGCACUUAAAUUGGUGUUGUCCUCAGAAAUACAGCUUGCGAUGAUAACUUAAUUCUUGUGAUAUGUAACGGUUUGGUGUGUUGUCUGUUUCUCAUUAAAUUACUCACGUUUUUGGGUAACUCAUUUUUGUUCUGCAGCAUAAUCAAAAUCUUGUCAGGAGGAAAUGUAAAAUUGUAUAUAAAUUUCCCUCAUAACCUAUUUGAAUAUUGUAUUGAAAUAUGAGUGUAAAUCAGAGAGUAAGCAUUUUGGUGUUUGCAUUAAUGAAGACUUGGAUCUAAAAUUUGCCAGGUAAUGUGUCCACUGUAAUUAGUUAAGGUAGAGAUGCCUUUGUGAAUGACCGCAAGGAAUGUGAAAUGAAUAUGUAAAAUUGACACAGAUUGGUUUAUUUAGAGAGACAGAGACUUAAACAGAAUACCAAUCAGGACACACACACACACACACACACACACACACACACACACACACACACACACACACACACACACACACACACACACACACACACACAAACACGGUGGGCAAAAGCAGCUGGCUGGUUGUGUCAACAGGCCGUAAACUGUUGACUGUAUUGCAGGGUAUAAUGGUAAGGUCUGUUGUAGAUUGAUAUUAAACUUUUUUGUAUGCAUUUGUAACAUCUGGCAUUUUCAUAUGGAGGUGUAGAGGAUGAACUAAUCCAUUAAUUUAUUUUACAUUACGUACUUUUCUUUCCAUUAUAGACGGUAGUGUUACUGUUCCCUUCGUCCUUCCCUCUUCCCCCUUGUACAUAAUAUUAUGAUUACUAUGCAAACUAGUCACUUAUGGACGAUAGAUUUAAAGAAGCUUAAUAAUCGAAAUCGUUAAUCUUAAUCCUCCUGAACACAUUAUUUUUUAACUAUUCUGUCAUGCAUCUUCUUCAAUAGCAUUUUUUUAUUUUGUUUCACUUAGUUCAUGACUUCUCACACACAUGCAAACACUUGUAGCCCGUUAUAGGGAUAGUGUCGAGUGAAUGCCGUGAAUAACUCAUCCGAAAUUGACCUUUCUGCUGACCUCUCUUUUUUUUAUUUUGUCGGAGCAGCGUCUAGUGGGCUUUUCUGCUGUUGCAUUUUUUUUUUUUUUUUUUUUUUUUUUUUUUUUUGAGCUGCCUCCCUUCCUGUAAAAAAAAUAAAAGAGAAGUUAAAAUGAGUCUUGACCAUAACAGCGGACAUGGAAGUGAAAGACGAGAGAUGACCUGGAGACAUUGGCCCCACCACUCCAUCACUCACCCAUCACACACCCAACACACACUCAGUCACCCACACGCCGCAUCACAAUUAAAUAGGCAUGAGGGUGUUUGUUUUGCGGCCAAGUGUCUCCGUUUCCCAUGCUGGAGGUGAGAGCCCUGCCAUUUAUUAGGGUCCCGAUGUUGGUGUUGUGUUGAAAUUGGCCUGUUGUUUUUCUUCAAAUUCUCCCUUUUUUUUUCAAUAUUGCUGCAUUACGUACUCCACUGUAUACUUUAACCCAGUAGCUGUGGGGAUUAUGUUUCCUAAAGGCCCCUCUAAGCGAGAAAAAUGAGAAAAAAUCAUCACUCACACAAACCAUUUCGUAAUAUAUAUCAACGCAUUUGUGAUCAGUUUAUGCAUCAUCUAUUUUGGGGGUUUAUAUCAUGGCAAAAAUUUGGCCUGUCGCUGGUACACAGUAAAGCCACAAAUUUGGCCCGUCGCUGCUACUGGGUUAAAGGCUUGUUGGUCUUUUAUUUCACUGCUCUGUCAUUUUCAAACUCAAUACAUUUUUCUUAUCAUAUAUAUCAUUACAGUUAUUAUUAUCAUUUUGCAAGAUCUUCAAGUGCAGUUAAUUCUUUUUGUAACCUUUCCACACAUAUUUUUUUCUUAUCUUUUCAUAGUAUUGCAGUUACUAUCAUUGUUUUCAAGAUCUUUAAGUCCAGGUCAUUGUUCUUUUACGCUGUCUCAUUUUUAACGUUAUUGCACUGCUUAGGCAUCAUUGUUGUUAUUUGUUUUCUUUUCGUUUUCGCCCUUGAGCUGUUUCCUCGACUGUGAAAAGAAAUAUUCAAGUCGUUUUGGUCUGUGCAUGGCUUAGAUUCCUCGUCUCGUCACCCCUUCAGAGCAUUGUCCACUGAAGGUCUUAGUUCUGUCAGCGUCCAAAUAUGAUUCCUGCCGGGGACCAUCCAUGUAACUUCCAUAAGGCAGUGUUGUGUUGCCUAUAAGAAGAGUCAGUCACCAUGCCUUGAAGUAGUAAUGUGGGACUGGGGUGAGCCUUAUAUAGUACACACACACACACACACACACACACAUGCAGACACACACAUAUACAUUCAGUGAUGAGUAACUAUUUUUGCAUUAUAUUUUAUUUCUAUUUUUUCCUCAGUGGUGUUUUAGAGAGUGUUAAGUGAGUGAGUGUGUUGGUAUUCCUUCCUUGUCAACAGGCAUUCAGUAAGCAGUUAUGAUUCUAGUAUUUUUUUAUUAUUUUUUCAUAUGGUGUUAUUUUCGAAGCAUUGUGUUGGUGUUUGCCAAGUUACAUUGCAUUUACUUUCUCAGAAUUUUAUAUAUCGGGGGUCUCAUGGGGUGCCCAGCUUUUCACUCUGACACCUGAGGUCAUUAAAACUUCCCCUCAGCUCUUACUGUUGCUGGUUACCGAUGUGUGUGGAUGACAGCCUUUGCCUGGAGAAGUGUAGGGAAAACUGUGUCCUCCGUACCGUGUAAAGCCACUUCAGUCCACGACUUACCAAGGCUUCCCUAAACAAUAUGCCAAUACUACAUAUAUAAUGCUUGCCUUUUAUAAAAUAUGCAGAAAAUGUAAACAUGAAACAUCAAAAUUUCUAAAAAGAUGUUUAUGUACUUUUAUAUAAAAAAAUAUGUAAAACUCAACAGAACUCAUAAUUCAUCUCUAUACAUUUUAUCUUUCUUCAUGAAUCAUGUAUGAUAAAACAAAAUUUCUAUAUUUACUGUGUCAGGUCCACAAGUUUAUCGUAAUUUAGUUCAGCAGCCAAGGAAAGAGACAGACCCUGAGCCAUUUCAACUUUGCAAGACUUGAAUCUCUUUGGCUUGCUUCAGCAUGAUAUUACUGAACUGGAAGGAGUGAAAAAAAAGAGAUUUUUUUUAUUCAUCCAAUAUCCAUCUUCAUCCCUCCUGUUUUCUACCUCAUCUCACCAUCAACAUUGUAUAUUGAUCUUGCUUCUCUUAUGUAGUGUUCUUUUUCUUCCUUUUUAUUACCAUAUGUGACAAUAUUUUGAGAGAAUGGAUGGGAGAGACAUUUCAGCAGAUAUCAAGCAUAUUGCUAUACCCCCAUUCACGUCAGGCAGCAUCCUCAUGUCAUGUUAGCGCUGCAUCACGCCACUCCCCAAGACACAGGAUCAGACAUCAUCACCAGGAAAACCAAACCAGUCCGGUGUUGGCACAUGACCCAGCGACAGAAACCAUUGUCUUGUCUCUGACGGCUUCUCUCCACGACUUUACUAAUCUCCAGCUGCUCUGACUAUCACUGUGCGCUGCCAGACGGACCAUGAGGAGAAUAUAUGAAAAUGCCAGUCCAGUGUUAUUUACCUAACUACUUAUAGCUCGAGGGGAGACUUUAUGAUAUGUACAUUAGUGUUUAAGCUUGCCCGUCUGCCGUACAUAAUUAUGCAACACCGAAUAUAACUUUGUAUAAUACUAAACUGCAUGGGGACUCAUCACGGCUGUCACUUUACGAAUGAGUCUUGUUAACAGGCCGUGAUACAGUUCCGUUUUUAUUAUCUCAAGACGGUAUACCACGCAACAUUGAAUCGCAUUAUAAGGAGUGCCAAAAUUACUACCGAGAAUUUAUAUAAGUGUGGUGAGGCAGUGAGCGUUGGUUUACAGUGGCUGAGGACGAAUGGGUAUAAUGUAUAGUGACACCGAGGAGACACUUAUAUGGUGGCAAGGCAAAGAAGAAGCCACUGUUCGCCACGUACCACCAUCACCACCUCAACUGUGUCCGUGGUGACUUAAGUGAGCUCGUCCUAAGAAUACUGACCCAAGUUUUAAGAUAGCUAUACGUUUGGUAAGCCACACCCCUUCCCCCGCUUAGCUCCUACCAGCUUUUACAUUCUCUAGCAUUCAGGAGGCGGUGUGCAAGGGAGUGCGGCUUACAUAUAAUGAUCAGCCAUUGGUGAAACACUUUGGAAGGAGAUUUUAAUGCGCCAGGUUACCACGGACACGCAUGAGUUGUGGUCACACUUUAAAAUGACUUGCCACAGCUGAGUCUUGCUGUUUCUUUACUAUCUAUAAUGUGCAUCGUAUGGUUUAAUCUCUCCUCCUCCUCCUCCUGUCAUUUAUCUAAUCUUUCCUCGUACGUUUCCUCCUCCUCCUCCUCCGUUUCCUCUUCAUUGCUUCAUUACUCGUAUUUUAAUCUUAUCUGUGUACGACUUAGUCAAAUAAAUGUAUAUUUAUAUUUUCUUAGCAUUCCUAAACAUGUACAUAAUUUUUUGUUGUUGUUCUAAAUGAAUAAAUAAAACCAUUAUGAUUG